rnacentral:rRNA from 1 species
UGGGGAAUUUUGCACAAUGGGGGAAACCCUGAUGCAGCGACGCCGCGUGAUUUAGAAGGCCUUCGGGUUGUAAAAAUCUUUUUUAUGGGAUGAAAAUGACAGUACCAUAAGAAUAAGGUCCGGCUAAAUACGUGCCAGCAGCCGCGGUAAUACGUAGGUGGCAAGCGUUGUCCGGAAUUAUUGGGCGUAAAGCGCGCGCAGGUGGUUUAGAAAGUCUGAUGUGAAAGCCCACGGCUCAACCGUGGAGGGUCAUUGGAAACUAAUAAACUUGAGUGCAGGAGAGAAAAGUGGAAUUCCUAGUGUAGCGGUGAAAUGCGUAGAGAUUAGGAGGAACACCGGUGGCGAAAGCGGCUUUUUGGCCUGCAACUGACGCUGAGGCGCGAAAGCGUGGGGAGCAAACAGG